rnacentral:rRNA from 1 species
GGGGAAUAUUGGACAAUGGGCGCAAGCCUGAUCCAGCCAUGCCGCGUGAGUGAUGAAGGCCUUAGGGUUGUAAAGCUCUUUUGUCCGGGAAGAUAAUGACUGUACCGGAAGAAUAAGCCCCGGCUAACUUCGUGCCAGCAGCCGCGGUAAUACGAAGGGGGCUAGCGUUGCUCGGAAUCACUGGGCGUAAAGGGCGCGUAGGCGGACUCUUAAGUCGGGGGUGAAAGCCCAGGGCUCAACCCUGGAAUAGCCUUCGAUACUGAGAGUCUUGAGUUCGGAAGAGGUUGGUGGAAUUGCGAGUGUAGAGGUGAAAUUCGUAGAUAUUCGCAAGAACACCAGUGGCGAAGGCGGCCAACUGGUCCGAUACUGACGCUGAGGCGCGAAAGCGUGGGGAGCAAAC